rnacentral:rRNA from 1 species
AACGAACGCUGGCGGCAUGCCUAACACAUGCAAGUCGAACGAGACCUUCGGGUCUAGUGGCGCACGGGUGCGUAACGCGUGGGAACCUGCCCUUAGGUUCGGAAUAACUCCCCGAAAGGGGUGCUAAUACCGGAUAAUGUCUUCGGACCAAAGAUUUCUCGCCUUUGGAUGGGCCCGCGUUGGAUUCGCUAGUUGGUAGGGUAAAAGCCUACCAAGGCGACGAUCCAUAGCUGGUCUGAGAGGAGGAUCAGCCACACUGGGACUGAGACACGGCCCAGACUCCUACGGGAGGCAGCAGUGGGGAAUAUUGGACAAUGGGCGAAAGCCUGAUCCAGCAAGGCCGCGUGAGUGAUGAAGGCCUUAGGGUUGUAAAGCUCUUUUACCCGGGAUGAUAAUGACAGUACCGGGAGAAUAAGCUCCGGCUAACUCCGU